rnacentral:rRNA from 1 species
AACGAACGCUGGCGGCAUGCCUAACACAUGCAAGUCGAACGAGAUCUUCGGGUCUAGUGGCGCACGGGUGCGUAACGCGUGGGAAUCUGCCCUUUGGUUCGGAAUAACAGUUGGAAACGACUGCUAAUACCGGAUGAUGACGAAAGUCCAAAGACUUAUCGCCAGAGGAUGAGCCCGCGUAGGAUUAGCUAGUUGGUGUGGUAAAGGCGCACCAAGGCGACGAUCCUUAGCUGGUCUGGGAGGAUGAUCAGCCACACUGGGACUGAGACACGGCCCAGACUCCUACGGGAGGCAGCAGUGGGGAAUAUUGGACAAUGGGCGAAAGCCUGAUCCAGCAAUGCCGCGUGAGUGAUGAAGGCCUUAGGGUUGUAAAGCUCUUUUACCCGGGAUGAUAAUGACAGUACCGGGAGAAUAAGCUCCGGCUAACUCCGUGCCAGCAGCCGCCGUAACAC